rnacentral:sRNA from 1 species
AGCAUUUUCUCAUGCAUCCACCUAAGAGGCACAAGUGGCUUCUUUUUGCAGCAAAUUCAAUUAAAGUAGAUUAUUGCCAAUGAUGCCAAGUCACAUUUAAAACCCUUUUCAACCUGAAUAUUAAAAACCCUGCCUGGCACAUCUUGCUCUUCUUUCAGAGAUAAUACUCAACACGCACACUGCUGCUAACUCACCUCCCUGAGCCUCACUCCCCGCCUCUUCUGAUUAGGCCUCUCCUGUCUCCCGGGAGUUUUCAUCUGGGAGGCUAACAGUGCUGGUUCCCCAGGCUAGCCUGCAGGGUGUGUCAGGUACCUGGGAAGAGUCAGGCCCCUCCCUCUGGAGACCUGGGCUGUAACCGCCAGAGCUUGGGAGAUGCGCUGAAAAGGAGUCUAGAGAUGCCUACCUAGACCUCAUUUUUUUUUUCUUGCUGGAGGGAAAAGCUCCUUAGGCCGCCAUGUAGCUGAGAAGCCUCUCACACUGCAAGUUCAACUCCCUGAAGGCAAUGCUUGGCUCCUUCUGGUUUUAAGUUACAGGCUGCUGGCGGUGUUGUCCUUGAAAGACAUGAAUGUGUUCCUCUGAGAUGCUGCAUGUAUGAUACUCAGUGAUCAAGUCGCCACGUAGCCUCUAACGAAGCACUGGAAGGACAUUCUGACUGGAAGGACAUUCUGACUGGAAGGACAUUCUGUUUAGCCACGGCUAUGCCCUCAGCCACCCCAAAGCUGAAGAGCUUUAGAUCACUUAUCAAAAUGUCCGACAGUUCUGUGGUCAGCUGGCUUGUGUUCACUCAAGCCGUAGCCUCCCACUGUGGUGAGAUGGUAGUUGCAGUUGGAGUCACCUGACACUCAACUGAGCUGGAAGCCCAAGGAUGAGCACUGGCGCCAGCUGCCAGCUGGAGUUACUGUGUGUGUUCUCACUGGGUGGUUUGGGCUUUUAUACUACUGGCAGCUCAUUCCAAAGAGAGGGUGUUCUAGAAAGAAAACUGGUGUCAUGUGUGGUCACCUUCUAGCUCCCAGAACCAGAGACCACAUAAUGCAUGAAUGACAGGAGAUGCGAUUCAGCAGGGGCCAUCUUUGAAAAUCAUCACAGACAGGUAUUAGUGAAGCUGGUCCUAGACCAUAACUGAUCUUGUAUAUGUGGGGUUUUUUAUAACAGCUCCUCUCCCUUCAGCUUUCCCAAAGGUAAAAUGUUAAUGAGAUCAUAUGUGAAUUCUCUGAUAAAUUAAUUAAUGCCUUCUUAUAAAGACUGCUAUUAUUAUUGGCCUGCCUCAUCAUUUCCACCUGGGAGUCCACAGAAAACAGGCACAACAGUGCAUGUAUCUCGACAACAAAAACCACAUUAAAUUCAUUGAAAUAACACAGACAUUCGAAUUGAGCACAGAUCAAAUCCUAUUACAAACAAAUUGCAUUAGGUUGUCUCCAAAAAUCCAGUGGAACCAGAUGUUUUCCGAGCUCUACUUUCUUCAAGCAAACACUCUAUGUAAGCAACGUGCAGGACUGGAGCUGAACGAAAGAGCCCCUGAAACCUGCAGGGUGGGAUUUAGGCCCAUUUUCUUUUAGCCUUGAGUCCCAACACCUUAAAAUCUAAAAAAGGUUUGCAAGGUUUGUAUGUGUGAGAUACCUGGGAAACAGUUAUAUUAUAGAAGUUGCUUCUUCGUUCUCCCAUUAUGCUUCUCUUCCGUUCAGCAGGGAUUGGAUGCACUCACAGUGCAAGAGCCGGACCAACAGCUGGAAGCCUCGCCCACACCAAUAACCUUUUGCACUGCAAGAGUAAAUUCAAAAUAGAGGAAGGGCUUCAAACUUCCCAAGCCUGUGUGGAUGGCUGUUUGUUAGCUCCUUGUCACUGGGGCAACAUACGUGAGAGAAGCCACUGACAAAAGGAAAGAUCUCAGUUUUUGUGAUUUCUGGUCCCUGGUCAGCUGGUUCCACUGCUGUGGACCUGAGGCAAAACUGAGACGUCGUGUAAGAGCAUGGAUGAGGAAUGCUGCUCACCUCAGCACAUCUGGAGAUGAGUUAGACACCAUAUGUACUCCAUUAUUUGUGUUUGGGUUUUCUCUGAUUUUUGUCUGAAAUGAAGCAAGCACAGCCUGCGAAUCUGCUGAAAGACUAAGAUUCAGAGAUACACAGAAGGAGACAGAGUUGGGGACAGUACUUUCCCAGGGGUAAUUUGUGUCUGAACAAGAUAUGGAAAGUUCUGGAAGGAGACGCACUGAAAGGACAAGCGUGGCUUCAGGAAACUUACAGUGCAGGAUUCAGGCAGUGAUUUGGCUGAUACGAAUUUCAGUCCUGUACUCCCGAAACAAAGAGAACAAGCUGGGAUCCUAUCAAAGAGCGAAGUGCUUGCUGGGAGAAAGGAGAACAGCCUGAUGCCCUCCAGCAGCUAAUGGAUGCAGGACCUCCACAUCCAUCCCCUCCUGGACCAGCGUGCCUGGGCCACAGGCUGGAGGUUCAAACAAUACAAACUUCCUUCUCUCAGCUUUGAAGGUUGAAAUCCAUGAUCAAGGUGCUGGCAGGAUUGGUCUCCGAAGCCUCUGUGCCUGGCCAAUGGAUCAUCUGUCACAUCUAGCUGUCUCUAUGCUUGGUAUCUGUGUGCCCUGGAGUUUCUCUUUGCCACAAAGACACCAACUAUAUCAGGUUAACGUCUACUCAUUGUCUCAAUCUAACCUAAUCACCUUCCCAGCAAACUCUAUACCCGAACCGGACAGCCUCAUCUCUGCCCAUAUAAGCUCCUUUAACCUUAGUUAUAUUUUUACAGACACAUGAUCUGAGCCACUGCAGUUUGGCCCUUAACAUGAGUAUAGAGGACAUACUCUAGACACACCCACCGUUUUCCCAAUGCUGCUUUAAUAUGUAAGAAAGAGCAGGUGAUAUAUCCGUGGUACAUAGAUGUGGGCUGUCUCUUAGGCUUAACUUGAAGGAAGAGUUACAGGAUAUAAGAGCUAUCUACCUAGAGAUGUUUCAGGCACUGAAAAUUGUAAGAAACUAGUUUGAUUUUGGCUGAACUGUCUUUUAAAUGGUGCAGCGAAAGCUUCAGCUGUGCUUUCAAUGGAGAGAAGUACAGGUAGCUGCCUGUAUCUAAUCUGGGCUGGGUUAAAAAAAAAUGUGACUCUCAGCCUCUUGUUCCACCCAUCCUUUUCUGCGUUUUCGCUUUUUUAACACAAAUGCUAUUUGCUCUGUCAUUUUAUUCCAAUCCUUUUCAAUAAAAAAUAUUUAAUUAGGAGACUAUUAAAACACAAAUGCUAUCAUAUAUGACGACAAUGCCAUUCCCAUGCCUUGGAAAUGAGUACCAAUUUCACACUUUAAACCCAAUUCAAAUUGUCCUCAUUUCAAAAAAAAAUUAUAAUUGAUUACAUGAAGCAGGCAUCUAGACAAGAUCAGUAUUGCAGUUGGCUGUUAGUAGAUCAUUUGUUGUGGGAAAAUGGUGUUUUCCAGAGACAUCCGAUUAGCCUGUCCUGUAAGGUUGGGAUUUUAUUUGUUUACUUGGGAACGGUUCCAAUUACUAAAAUAAAUUCAUGUUCUGAUGGAUUAUGAUAGAAUUGCGGGUUUAUUUAGCCUU